AACUGAAGAGUUUGAUCAUGGCUCAGAUUGAACGCUGGCGGCAGGCUUAACACAUGCAAGUCGAGCGGGGGAAGGUAGCUUGCUACUGGACCUAGCGGCGGACGGGUGAGUAAUGCUUAGGAAUCUGCCUAUUAGUGGGGGACAAC
rnacentral:rRNA from 1 species